GCAGGGCCUCAUAAAUAUGGGUCAAUAUAGGGACACACACAAAAGACUCAGGAUGAAUGAAAUAGGCUUUAUUGUUUUAGUGUGAACUUUCACCCUACCUGUGCGUAGAAGCUCUCAGAUCUGAGGCGGGUCUUUUCAAAUGAAGAGACACACGAACUGAAGACAGGUCUUCACCUUGAUGGCUACAAAUCGGAUCCCUCUAAUAUUAUUUCAGCAGAGGAUUGUCCCAGGAGGCCUCCCUCCUCCUUCUUGAGGCAGGAGAAUUACAUUUCUGGGAAUGAAACCUCAACCAAUCACAUCUUGGUGGAGCUGAAUCUACAGAACAACGUCUUGGUUUAUUGUGGGUUUCUUGUUUUGUAGAGUUGGAUGUUUUCUUAAGGCUUAAAGUAGGCCAAUGAUCAAUGUAAAACUGUUGGAAUGUGUUCCGUGCCUCAAAAAACAGUAGUUUUCUUUGAUUGUCAAAUAGGGCUAUACAGAUGUGUCCAUUGAGUAAAUUAUAAUGGCUUUUAAAGAAGAGGCAGAACUUUAAAAUUAUGCACUUUAAAUGGUAGGAUGUUUUUGGUAAUCUUUCACAUUCCUAAAGUGACUUAAAUAUUGUUUUUGACUGAAACAAGGAGCUACGGAUAAGCAAUAUGUUUAAAAUGAAUCGCUUGAACCCAUAAAUAUUUGACCAAAUGUCAGAGAACAUAAAUGUCUUGUCGUGAAGAUGUUUGUGCCAUG
rnacentral:lncRNA from 1 species